AUUUAGAAAAAGUUGUACUGUAUUAAUUUAAUUUGUGUGUUGAGCAAUGGAAAAUUGAACAAAAUUGGCUUAGAAGCAUUACACACCACACGGCCUAGCAGCCAGCAGGAAAAUCUUCUUUCUCUUUUAACAAAUAUAGGACAACAAUGAAAGUGCAAUGUUGAAUGAAGUAAAGCUCACGGUUUUCUUUAUUUAAGUAAAGGGUGCUAUUUUAAGAGAAUGUUUAUACACUUUUGAAAAUGAAUUGAACUAGUAUGUGGAUUGGUUUUGUUAUUUCUUUUAAAUGGUUUAACAUGCAGGUUGCACGGCCCCAUAUCAACAAUUUAAUUUGGCAUAUAUGUUUGGAAAAAGGCCACCACUCAUUCACGGUUUUCACUUGAUAAUGUGCCAAAAUUCAUAACCUUGGGAGACAAUGAUCACGUGAAAGAGAAUUCACAUUCUAUUUAACAAAUAAAGAAAGAUGGAGGGGACCACAAGGAAAGAAGUUUACGAUUCUUGGAGGAAGAAAAAGAGAGAAUCUCUUUUAAAGUAAAGCAUAUGCGUUUUUGACUUGGCAUGGGUGAAGAUUAAAGAAUGAAUUUAUGGAAACGCAAAACUCAACAAUUGGAAAGAAAGGGGCGCUGAAUUGUCAGAAGAGAGUGGCCACCUUUGUCACUUUUGUUUUUCAUUGUUUUGGAGAUAUGAGAAUGCGGUUUCAAAGAGGGAGAGGCCGCGAGUUUGAGGGGGAGGCCGUGAGAGUCCAGCUAAUCCAGCACCUUCACGAUCCAUAAAAGAGGGAGUUGUUGCUGCCACUUCCAGGAGGUGUUCAUGGUGAUCUUUAUUUUAGAAAAGAGAAUACACGUUAGUCUUGAUUCAAUUUGAUGGAGAAGGGUGAGCUGGAAUGUGGAAAUAGAGAGGAGAAAUGACACGGCCCAUGGAGAAAUAAUUCUGGAAUAGUUUGGUGUGCAUGAAGAGCUGAAGGAGGAGGUGUCUCGGUCUUGAGCAGCAGCACUCACUUGCCAUUUGUUUUAGAGAAUGAUGCACGGUUGAGAAGAAUGCAGCAGCGUGAAGAAGGGUUGAACGUCCAGCUGGAAGAAGAUGUGGAGAUCACAACCUGCUGGAAGUAAGAAGGAGUGCAUCAGCUGGUCCACCAAAGAAGAGGAGGUCACGGCUGUGUUGAUUUAAUUUGGAAGGAAGAAGAGAGGCACCAUGUGUACACGGAAAGGAAGAUGGAACCAGCCACUUGUUGAUUGGAGAAGAGAAGCCAGCAAGCGGUGCAGCUCCGUCCAUGCAUCCAGCCAUCUCCACCAGUCCAGCUCCAUCACGGUCCAGUAGCUUUGGACGUUGGCUGGAAGGAAGAAGAGAGCUACGUUCCAGUACAGAAGACGUGCAUGGUAAUGGCAGCAAAGAAAAGCAGCAUAGGCUGCACUCAUUGGCAGGGAGAAUGGAGAUGCAUCAUGAUGAUUAAUGGAGCUCUCGGUACCAUCCAGCAAGCAGCCCACGGUGCAGCAAAGACAAACAACACACGGCCUUGGAAGAAGAUUGGAAGCUCAUGGUUCCCUUGAGUAGUUGCGUUCAGUGGUUUGGAGAAUUAGCACAGAAGAGGGGCCGUUCAAAAUGAAGGAUUGUCGGUUUAGAGCCGGAUGUGUAAGCUCACGGCCCCAUUGGAAAAUUUAGAAAAACAUUUACCAAACAUCACUAAGUUGGAAUCAAUUGAAGGGGCCACCAUAUUGCAAAUGCAGUCACGGCCAGGAGGUGUUCACGGGAAGAGAAUGGAAUAGUGAAAAGAGCCAUGGUUGGAAGGAAACUCACGAGAAUUUUAGCUGGGAAGCAAGGAAGCAAACAGAUACAAGAAUGAAGGGACCCAUCCUAAUUCUUUUGCAAUUGUUGAAAUGAAGGAGAAGUCACGGGAGGAUGAGUUUUCUCUAUAAAAUGGAAUGGGCAGCAGAGGAGAAAACAUUAGAUUUUAGGAGUAGUUUAGGAACCACUCACGGCCAGAGGAGGCUCUGGCCUCUUUCCAUUUUCCAGCUCUUUCCAUUUUUCAGUAGCAAGCUCUCAGUUUCCAUUUUCCAAACAGUGAUUUAUUUUCUGAAACGUGUAAUGUAUCGUUAGUUUGAUUUUGGAAUAUUAUUUUCAAUUGUUUAAUCCUUGAUGAAUUUCAUUUUCAGUGCUUUUAAUUUUACCAUUUCUUUUAUUUUAUCGUUUAUUGUUUUCUACAUCGUAAAUUUUGUCAAUGUGUUUUACUCUUUAUCUUAUUUUCAAACGUUGUUUUUACCGUUUAUUUUUACUGAUGAUUUUGGUAAAUUUUAAUUACAAUGUUUUUAUGUUUUUCUGCAUGGUACUGUUCACGCAUUUUAAAUUUAAACACUAUAAUUUUCCAUUUUCUGUUUUUACCGUCUUUUACCAUUCAGAUUUUACCAUCGUUAAAAUUUAUUUCAAACGUUAUUUUUAAUUUUGUGUUGUUUAAUUUCCAGUUCACUUUAAUUUUACCGCACAAAACAUUCACAAACCCCCCCCUUUCGUGUUAAAAUCUAAGACUGAACUCCAGUAUUGGUCCUUGAGAGACGACCUAGGAGUCAAAUCCUAGUCUAUACUGCAUAUUUUCGUGCAAUCAAAUUUGUAUGACCGCGACAGUCGUAUCAGAUUUUGGCGCCGUUGCCGGGGACCAAUGGAGGUUUGGUUUUAGAUUUUUGUUGUGUAAAUUUUUGUUUUGUUAAUAUGUUUGUUUUGUGUGUUUUGUCUUGUAUAUUUUUGUAGGCGACAACGACACCUUCAGCAAAUUUUGGCGGCGUUGUCACUUAAGUCCAGGUUCUUGUUUUAGAUUUUUACUGUUUUUGUUUUAUUACGUGGUUGUAAUAUAUGUUUUGUCUUUUAUAUUUUUAUUGUGUUGUGUUUUGUAUUAUGUUUGUCAAUUAAAAAAUUUUUAAAAAAAAAAGUUUUUAAUUUUGUUCUGUCUUGUUUGUGUCUGAAGAAUGUUUAAUUGUGUUGUGUUUUAUUUUGUGUUGUGAUGUGAUGUUCUGUAUGUGUGUUGCAUGUGCUUUAUCUGUUAAAUAAAAAAAAAUUAAAAAAAAAAAUUUAUUAUGUUCUGUCUUUUGUGUGCAUGUAACAUGUAUAAAUGUGUUGUGAUUUAUCUGUUUAGUAAUUUUUAGUAUUUAGUUUUUAUUUGUUUUAUUUUUAUUUUUCCAUGUCUACCUAUUUUGAUUAUGUGAAUAGUGUUUAUUCUGUCAAUGCCUCUAAUUAUGAGUCUCCUUCUGCAUGGUACUCUGAUUUUAAUUCUGCUGACCUCUAUGUUGAGAAAAAUAUGGCCCACCCUCCAAUUUAUGAGAGCUCUCCUUGGGAGCCAGUUCCACCAAAUAAGGAUGGUGAUCAUCACUUUCUUAACAUUGGAAUGAUAAAAAUGCUGCCCCAGUUUCAUGGUUUUGCAGGCGAAUGCCCACAUGAACAUUUGGAGAAUUUCUAUAGAAUUUGUUCUGCAAUGAAACCUCCAAAUGUCACGGAUGAUCAAGUUUUCUUAAGGGCAUUUUCGCACUCGUUAAAAGGAGCAGCAAAGGAUUGGAAAGAUCGUCUUCCUCGAGGAUUCGUCAUCAGAUGGGAAAAUCUUAAGAGUCAAUUUCUGAAGAAAUUUCCCCGUGUGCAAAAUAGUUACAACAACAAUCCUGGAUGGAAUGACACGAGUUUGUCCAGCAAAGGGAAUUUGGAAACACACAUGCCGCACAUGCACAUGGAAAGGCUUUGGUUUUAAUUUUUUAUGGAGAAUAGGAUAAAGAAGUGCACAUUUACGUGAAGUCCAACAAAUGCAAGUAGCACAUGAUGGAAGGAAUAUACAAAAGCUUGUGGUAUGAGUGCACACACAUGGAGUUUUACUUCCAUUUGAUGGAUGAUGACAUGGAAUCACAUUUCUGAAAAUGGUCCACCAAACACAUGCUUGCAAUGUACCAAGAAUCACUUAAGUUUCACAAAUGUCACGGCUGGAAACAUCAAGUGGAGGGCCCCUUUGUUUUAUUUUGAUUGAAGGAGAGUUUAAAGAAUUAGUUGGAAGAUGCACAUCUCUCACAAUGUCUCACGGUUGGUGCAGCAGGAAAAUAUUCAGCCAUCAUACCUUCACAUGGACAUGGAAGCCAAAGUAAGAAACACAUGCAAAAGAGCUUCAUCCAGCCAUUGAUACAAAAAAGGAGAGAAGAAAAAUUUUGGAGGGGGUUAGUUGGUGGAUGGAGAGGAGAGGCCGUGAGCUCAUGGUGGGAGGAUGAAGAAAACAAAUCACUGCUGGGAUGGAGGAUGAUGCUUGGAUUCUUGUUGUCUUCUAAAUUGGUGUUGUACAUCUUUCCAUUUAAGUUUUUGUUCAUUUGUUGUUAUAUUCAUCUUAGUAUUCUAUAAACUGUAAUUUGUAUUUUGUUUGUGCAAGUUGAUGUUGUAAUUUUAGAAGCUUUGUAAUUUCAUUUUGGGAAGUGUUUUUCCUUCUUUUGAUUUA